rnacentral:lncRNA from 1 species
UUUGAUAGGGAGUAGAGAACCGCCCUGCAGACUGAACACACGCCCCGUGCACCCAGGCCCGCCCGUCCUUCAGCGGUCACGGACAGCCACGCAUGCCCGGGUGUGGUGGGUUUAGCGAAGGCUGACGCAACCUUAAAAGGACGGAUGCCUGUGACACUCAGAAAUCCGUGGGACCUACGGUAAACGGGAAAAUGAGGGAGCAGGCAGAACAGGCCCUGAAGCAUCCUCCAGUGCCUCUGAACCCCUCGUUUAGGCCUGUGACCUUGGACCCAGCACCACCUGCUGGUGCCAUGUUGGUGCUGGCACCUUGCAGCUCAGAAGCUCAAGAACGCUUCCAAGAGGGACUCGAUACCCAGAACAGCCAUGGAACGUGCCGGACUCUGUGUGAUUCGCCUUACCUCGAAGGUGGCUACCAGCAGGGGGAGAAGACGACAGUGAAUGCGGCCGGGUCAGCCCACCAGCCGUGUCCGCCACACCUGUCCAGAGCUGCUCCUCCCCAGACACCUGCCCCCAGAGGAAAGUUGGAGAGCUGGAUGAAUCCUAUUGUCAAUGAGAUUUCUCGUUCAGAGGUUGUAGAAUCCUGGAACAACAAUGCACCAAGAAACUUCUAGAGAUCAUCUGGCAAUUGCUCCCCCCCUCCCCAUUUUUAGAGAAGUUGUAAACUUACAGAAAGACCAUGCAUAAAAUACAGAGUUCCCAUAUAGCACCCU